GUCCCAGGAGCACCAUAGUUAGCGCGGUGGACUUCUAAUCCAAAUGUCGUGGAUUCGAAUCCCACCUGGGAUG